rnacentral:rRNA from 1 species
UGAGGAAUAUUGGUCAAUGGACGAGAGUCUGAACCAGCCAAGUAGCGUGAAGGAUGACUGCCCUAUGGGUUGUAAACUUCUUUUAUACAGGAAUAAAGUGAGGCACGUGUGCCUUUUUGUAUGUACCGUAUGAAUAAGGAUCGGCUAACUCCGUGCCAGCAGCCGCGGUAAUACGGAGGAUCCGAGCGUUAUCCGGAUUUAUUGGGUUUAAAGGGAGCGUAGGCGGGUUGUUAAGUCAGUUGUGAAAGUUUGCGGCUCAACCGUAAAAUUGCAGUUGAUACUGGCGACCUUGAGUGCAACAGAGGUAGGCGGAAUUCGUGGUGUAGCGGUGAAAUGCUUAGAUAUCACGAAGAACUCCGAUUGCGAAGGCAGCUUACUGGAUUGUAACUGACGCUGAUGCUCGAAAGUGUGGGUAUCAAACAGGAUUAGAUACCCUGGUAGUCCACACAGUAAACGAUGAAUACUCGCUGUUGGCGAUAUACGGUCAGCGGCCAAGCGAAAGCAUUAAGUAUUCCACCUGGGGAGUACGCCGGCAACGGUGAAACUCAAAGGAAUUGACGGGGGCCCGCACAAGCGGAGGAACAUGUGGUUUAAUUCGAUGAUACGCGAGGAACCUUACCCGGGCUUAAAUUGCAACUGACUGAACCGGAAACGGUUCUUUCUUCGGACAGUUGUGAAGGUGCUGCAUGGUUGUCGUCAGCUCGUGCCGUGAGGUGUCGGCUUAAGUGCCAUAACGAGCGCAACCCUUAUCGAUAGUUACUAGCAGGUCAUGCUGAGGACUCUAUUGAGACUGCCGUCGUAAGAUGUGAGGAAGGUGGGGAUGACGUCAAAUCAGCACGGCCCUUACGUCCGGGGCUACACACGUGUUACAAUGGGGGGUACAGAAGGCAGCUACACGGCGACGUGGUGCUAAUCCCGAAAGCCUCUCUCAGUUCGGAUUGGAGUCUGCAACCCGACUCCAUGAAGCUGGAUUCGCUAGUAAUCGCGCAUCAGCCACGGCGCGGUGAAUACGUUCCC